rnacentral:rRNA from 1 species
GAUGAACGCUGGCGGCGCGCCUAAUACAUGCAAGUCGAGCGAACAGACGAGGAGCUUGCUCCUCUGACGUUAGCGGCGGACGGGUGAGUAACACGUGGAUAACCUACCUAUAAGACUGGGAUAACUUCGGGAAACCGGAGCUAAUACCGGAUAAUAUAUUGAACCGCAUGGUUCAAUAGUGAAAGACGGUUUUGCUGUCACUUAUAGAUGGAUCCGCGCCGCAUUAGCUAGUUGGUAAGGUAACGGCUUACCAAGGCAACGAUGCGUAGCCGACCUGAGAGGGUGAUCGGCCACACUGGAACUGAGACACGGUCCAGACUCCUACGGGAGGCAGCAGUAGGGAAUCUUCCGCAAUGGGCGAAAGCUUGACGGAGCAACGCCGCGUGAGUGAUGAAGGUCUUCGGAUCGUAAAACUCUGUUAUUAGGGAAGAACAAAUGUGUAAGUAACUAUGCACGUCUUGACGGUACCUAAUCAGAAAGCCACGGCUAACUACGU